rfam:Hordeum vulgare subsp. vulgare, WGS project CAJW01000000 data, contig: morex_contig_50947
AGUAUACUCCCUCUGUCCUUAAUUGCUUGUCGCAGAAAUGAAUUACAGCAGAUGUAUCAAAUUAAAAUAUGAUUAGAUACAUUAAUUUUUCGACAAGUAUUUUCGGACAGAGGGAGUAUGUG